GCUUCUAAAGGAUAAAAGUCAUCCAUUGGUUUUAGGAACCAAGAACUCUUGUGCAAAUCCGAGUAGUAGCU
rnacentral:tRNA from 1 species